ensembl:ncRNA lncRNA:CR44091 long non-coding RNA:CR44091
ACUUUUUGAUUACUUUAAAAUUCUGGUAAUAUGGGUAACACAUAUUGUAAUAUGAUUUUACCGACUUGCACGGAUCAGGCUGCAGGCACAGGCUGCCUAGCCAGUUUGGAUUUCUGACCGGCUGAGUGGAUGCCUGGUGUCUGCUGUUGGCAAAAUGUCAAGUGUCUGCCGCGGAAAUGAGGCCGUUGUGGCAGCUAGACUCCGCGGAUAAAGUCCAAGUAGAAGUUGCCACACGUACUUGCAGUGCAACUCGAGGAACUCGCUAAAGUUGACAUCUUAUUUGGCGAAGGAUUCUUCAAAUGUGCAAUUUAUUGAGCAACCAAUAUAAACAAACCACAUUGGAUUGGACUUUUAAAUAAAUUAAUU